AACGAACGCUGGCGGCAUGCCUAACACAUGCAAGUCGAACGAGACCUUCGGGUCUAGUGGCGCACGGGUGCGUAACGCGUGGGAACCUGCCCUUAGGUUCGGAAUAACUCACCGAAAGGGGUGCUAAUACCGGAUAAUGUCUUCGGACCAAAGAUUUAUCGCCUUUGGAUGGGCCCGCGUUGGAUUAGCUAGUUGGUAGGGUAAAAGCCUACCAAGGCGACGAUCCAUAGCUGGUCUGAGAGGAUGAUCAGCCACACUGGGACUGAGACACGGCCCAGACUCCUACGGGAGGCAGCAGUGGGGAAUAUUGGACAAUGGGCGAAAGCCUGAUCCAGCAAUGCCGCGUGAGUGAUAAAGGCCUUAGGGUUGUAAAGCUCUUUUACCCGGGAUGAUAAUGACAGUACCGGGAGAAUAAGCUCCGGCUAACUCCGUG
rnacentral:rRNA from 1 species